rfam:Ornithorhynchus anatinus chromosome 12, whole genome shotgun sequence.
GUCCGCUUUGGCAGAACAUAUACUAAAACUGGGAUGAUACAGGGAAGAUUAGCAUAGCCCCUACACCAGGAUGACACGGAAAUUCGUGAAGCGUUCCAUAUUUUU